GCACGCUCGUCCUCUCCCUCCGUGCUGUCGCGGUGUUGUUGCAACUCAAAUCGUGUGCUUCAAAUUAGAAGAUUUCCUUCAUAUUUGAACAUUUCCAUGAAUAUUCUAAUUUAAUAAUUACUUCUCCGUGAAGUUUGAUAUCAUUUCAUGUCUAAUUCAUUGAGCGAUUUAAUAUAAGUGUCUUGAUUUUCUUUUCAGCUGUAAAGUUGCGAACGAGAAGAUGUCAUCGAACGAACUUUAUAACUCGUAGGCAAAAACCCAUAGUAUAUGUAUAUAGGUAAUAGCCAGGCUUAAUUGGCCUUAUUUUUUCAUUAUAUAUUUUAUCUACAAAAGCAUAAAUGGUAAAGAACGCUUGAUAUCUUCUUCAACCUGUCGUGCUACAGCCUUCUCCUUAACGAUCUGAGAGCUUCCAGAUUAUCCGCUAACAGAAACUCCAGCUCUGCAAUUAUCCUCAGUGUAAGAAACGCGGAACAAAUUCCAGCAUUCACGUGAAUUCAGCAUUCACGUACCGCCUGAAUAACCUACCCGGCAAACGGAGCGUCUGACGCGAGAACUGUCCGCUUCUCAUCCACGCUGGU